UGGGGAAUAUUGGACAAUGGGCGCAAGCCUGAUCCAGCCACGCCGCGUGAGUGAUGAAGGCCUUCGGGUCGUAAAGCUCUGUGGGGAGGGACGAACCGCUGGAUGUGAAUAGCUUCCAGCAUGACGGUACCUCCUUAGCAAGCACCGGCUAACUUCGUGCCAGCAGCCGCAGUAAUACGAAGGGUGCAAACGUUGCUCGGAAUUAUUGGGCGUAAAGCGCACGUAGGCGGCUUUGCAAGUCCGAUGUGAAAUCCCUCGGCUCAACCAAGGAAGUGCAUCGGAAACUGCAGAGCUUGAGUACAAAAGAGGAUCGCGGAAUUCCCGGUGUAGAGGUGAAAUUCGUAGAUAUCGGGAGGAACACCAGUGGCGAAGGCGGCGAUCUGGGUUGAUACUGACGCUGAGGUGCGAAAGCGUGGGGAGCAAACAG
rnacentral:rRNA from 1 species